rnacentral:rRNA from 1 species
AUUGAACGCUGGCGGCAGGCCUAACACAUGCAAGUCGAGCGAGCGGCGGACGGGGGAGUAAUGUCUGGGAAACUGCCUGAUGGAGGGGGGUAACUACUGGAAACGGUAGCUAAUACCGCAUACCAUCAGAUGUGCCCAGAUGGGAUUAGCGAGUGGGGGGGGUAACGGCUCACCUAGGCGACGAUCCCUAGCUGGUCUGAGAGGAUGACCAGCAACACUGGAACGGAGACACGGUCCAGACUCCUACGGGAGGCAGCAGUGGGGAAUAUUGCACAAGGGGCGCAAGCCUGAUGCAGCCAGGCCGCGUGUGUGAAGAAGGCCUUCGGGUUGUAAAGCACUUUCAGCGGGGAGGCGGUACCCGCAGAAGAAGCACCGGCUAACUCCGUGCCAGCAGCCGCGGUAAUAC